UAUCUACAACAUUUGCAGUUCACAAAAUCCUCCAUGAAAGGAUAAUUUACAACAUAGAUUGACAAAAUAUACACACAGCAAGGUUAAGAAAUAGUACACUCCAGUUUACAUAAACAAAACAUAUAAACUAUUGAGGUUGUUAUUCAAGUUCUUGCCAUCGGCCCUCCUGAUGGAAACUAUCAGGUCGUGGCGAAUUGUGAUGGGAAGCACCAAGUAGCCCGCUACUCAAUCAUACCUAGCAUAUUUACAAGAACAUUAGAUAUCUGCAGAUAUGAAUAGAUAGUAGAAAUAAGAGAAUUGCAACAUGUGGAAAAUGAAUUACAUGCUACCAAAAAAAUUUAAAUCUUAUAGUGCCGACAAAUGAGGAUAACAUAGUAUCUAUGGCAUAUAAUUUUCAUGUAUAUCCGAAUUAAUUAACACAACCAAGUGUUAAGUACUUGUGCAUAUCAUCCAAACAAGAAACAAAAACACUAGGCUGACAAAGGGGGACCAUAAAUAAAGUAGUACACAAAAUUCAUUCAAUUACCAUAUGUCCAGUGAUCCUUGAUGAUAAGUUAUGGAGGUAACAAAGGGAUAGUUGCAUUGAGAAAACAAACAGGCACAUAUUUCUAUAGUUGUCUAGUAGUGUAUUAUUUUCCUAGUCUGGUAAGUAGGCAUGAAUCAUUUUGUUGAUAUUUGGCAGAAUGUCACCUUCGGUUACCACAAAUUUGCAUAAAUUAGGCUAAAACUAGAACCUACCCUGUUAGAGCAUUAAGAAAUUGGAUAUACCCUGCAGAAUAAUAUCUGCAUCUAUUGACACUUAACAGUUGAAGCUUAGAACAAAAGAUAUAUAGUGAAAAUAAAAUCAAAAGUCUAUGAAGGGGACACCAAUGGACCUAUAUAAGAAUAUGGGCAUUUUGCCCAAGGAUGCAUAUCUCCUGCAACCAUAAGAGAUCAUCAACAGUUAUCACGCAUACAGCUGAAUAAUUAGUAUUUGACAGAAACAAUAUAAAUGAACAAGUGGAGAUGCAAAAUUACCAGCAGCAGUGAGGUGACACAUUUCUCAACAGCCAGGACAACACCAUCCUUACUCUUCAACCCAAUGGCAGUGGAGCCCAACUGCAAUCCAUAGCAGAAGGAUCAGCAUCAAAAGGAUUACAUGCAGACCAGAAUAAGAACACCAAAAUUUUCAACAAAAAGAAUACCAAAAGGAAGAUAUCAAUCUUCAUUAAGAAUACCAUUAGGAAAAAACGCAUACCACUAGAAAUUACGAAUUAGUUCUCCAACAAGUAAGGGACGAUGUUUGGAACAUCUGCCUCACAUAUCCGACACAUUUUAUUUGGCGCAGAAAAAUUAAAACUGCAUUAUCUAUGUGCACCUCUAAAUCCCGAAGAUAUAGAUUUUUACAAUACUUCAUUAUUUUGUUUUAUAGCAUCAAUCAUGUCUAAAGGAGCUGCUUAUUCAGUGGUAAAUCUUUGUGCCUCACAUGAAGGAGCAACUUAUUCAGUGGUAAACUUAUGUGCCUCUCCUCCCUCUCAGCUUUUGUAGAUGGAAGAAAGCUACUUCUAAAGCUUGUUGUGCUGUGUCAAAUGGCAGAAGUUUUAGACAACAUAUAUUAAAAAUAUGUGACUUGAAUGUCACACACACAAUCACACAAACAUCCAACAUUAAUUUAGAUAGGAACAUGUGCGAACAUAUGCAGCAAACAAAUUUCAUGAAUACUGAUCGAUCCUUAAGCAAGGCAUGGUGAGAACUAACAAGUAUGUGUAAACUAAUCAGAACCUUAACAAUACACGAUUUGCACUCGGAUGAAAGAGAAGCAACAUUUUACUCAAUGUCUUGUUGACUGCUACAACAACACAGCGCUACAG
rnacentral:lncRNA from 1 species